AGACGAACCGGGCAAACGUUAUUCGGAAUCACUGGGCUUAAAGCGUGCGUAGGCGGCUUGGCAAGUUGGGUGUGAAAGCCCUCGGCUCGACCGAGGAACUGCGCUCAAAACUGCCAGGCUUGAGGGAGAUAGAGGUGAGUGGAACUGAUGGUGGAGCGGUGAAAUGCUUUGAUAUCAUCAGGAACACCGGUGGCGAAAGCGGCUCACUGGGUCUCUUCUGACGCUGAGGCACGAAAGCUAGGGGAGCGAACGGGAUUAGAAACCCCAGUAGUCC
rnacentral:rRNA from 1 species